rnacentral:rRNA from 1 species
AUGGAAGGGGGAGGAGAAGAGGCACCGCGCGAGGCUCCACCGGCGUCCCCUGCUGGAUCCGGCUCCUCCGCAUUAAGCCCAGCGCCGGCACAGGGGGCGGCGGCCGCGGUGCUCGGUGAGGCGGACCUGCACCGGGGCCGGCAGGCGUGGUGUUCGGGAAGGAGGGCCCAAAGCCGGGGUGAUGGAGGAGGGAGAGAGGAAUGGAGGGGGAGGAGAAGAAGCGCCACGCGAGGCUCCAUCGGCGUCCCCCGCCGUGUCGCCCCACGUCUUCUGUCGCUUUCAUCUCCGGCAAGGCGAGCUCGGGGGAGGCGAGUCGGACCUGGACAGGGGGCAGCGCUGACCGGGUGA